rnacentral:rRNA from 1 species
AUUGAACGCUGGCGGCAGGUCUAACACAUGCAAGUCGAGCGGAUGAAGGGAGCUUGCUCCUGGAUUCAGCGGCGGACGGGUGAGUAAUGCCUAGGAAUCUGCCUGGUAGUGGGGGAUAACGUCCGGAAACGGGCGCUAAUACCGCAUACGUCCUGAGGGAGAAAGUGGGGGAUCUUCGGACCUCACGCUCUCAGAUGAGCCUAGGUCGGAUUAGCUAGUUGGUGGGGUAAAGGCCUACCAAGGCGACGAUCCGUAACUGGUCUGAGAGGAUGGUCAGUCACACUGGAACUGAGACACGGUCCAGACUCCUACGGGAGGCAGCAGUGGGGAAUAUUGGACAAUGGGCGAAAGCCUGAUCCAGCCAUGCCGCGUGUGUGAAGAAGGUCUUCGGAUUGUAAAGCACUUUAAGUUGGGAGGAAGGGCAGUAAGUUAAUACCUUGCUGUUUUGACGUUACCAACAGAAUAAGCACCGGCUAACUUCGUG